UUCACAUAAUCAACGGACUGAGUCAAGGCCUUCAUGGCAAAAACUGUGACAGUUGCAUAAUUGGCACCCCAUCUCAGCUUCAAACCCACCACUCCCCCAGCCCUAGUCCCAGCUCCCCAGAGUCUGGGUUUAUUGUCCUGGAGGGAAGUCUUUGAAUCAGAGAAUGUCACUUCCAGUAGGGAUCUUAAGCUACCUCUUAUCCUUUGUUCUCAAAAUUUGUUUUUGAGGAAUUUAGAGCUAAAUAGAGAUGACCUGCCACUAAAAUCAAGUAAGAUUUUCACAGACAUCUAGCCCCUUCUAUUGCUUGUCUACUGGCAGGAAAAAAAAUAAAAAAGCAUCACACAUGAUAUCCAGAGUCUUUACUCAGCCUGGCAGGAUCUCCUUUUACUGUGUAUGAGCCAGCCGGCCCCUUUGCUUUCCCUUAACCAGCAGCACCAUCUCAGCAAACGCUGAAAGAAGGGGCUUCUGAUGACCCAAGUUUGUGCUGAUUCUCCUCGGGCCAAGGCUGUACCAACCCAAGCAAAAACAAGUAGGAAGAAAGAAAAGCCAUCUUCAAAUCAUGGAAACUGUGAAAAUAUCUCGUGUUCUGAGUUCCAACUUUGAGAUGUGGUCUGAAAAUUGGGAAUCAUUUUGUCCCAGUGACUGCAUCUCCUUAUUUGAAUAGUCUGUAUUUUCAGUUGUUUUUGGUGGUUUGGUUUUUUUGUUUUAAAUGGUGUAAAUAAAAUAAAUAAAA